rnacentral:lncRNA from 1 species
AAGGAGGCGUGGAUUAUGGGAUUCUGAUCCCAUAGUGGAUCCAGUAGGUACUUAAUGCGUGUUCCAGUUCAAAAAUAUUCAUUUUGUUUUCCAGGUAAAUCUUGCCAGAUCUUUCCGGACUGCAGACCCAGGUAAAGUAAUUGCUUGACAUUUCAUGCUAAUUUAAUUAUCUGCACUUUAGCUCGUUGGCAGCAGUGUAAAUGCAUAUGGAUGUGGGUUGAUUGUUUAGAGAACAGGACGUUCUUGUCUGAGGGUCGCCGUUAAAUACCUCCGGCAUUUUCAGAUGCGCGCGCUGCUUUCAGUCAUUUCUUCCUACAGCUUUAAUCGCGUAACAUCUUGAUAUAGACAGACAGGAGCGCACGGAUCACACCAACGCCACAGAACCAUGUCGGACUCAGAGACUGCAGCUCCUGCCGAGACCCCUGUCCCAGCACCCUGUGUGGCCAUCAAGGCAGAUCUAGACAAAUGUGUAAAGGAGAAUGGUGAGGAAGCGUGUAAGGAGCUAAUGGAGGCAUUUGCUGCCUGUGUGAAGAGCAAUGCUGAAGCGUCAUGAGGAGCUCAACAUGCAGGAAAAGGUUUCACUGCACUGAGUCCUCCACCUUCCCAGAAUUCCCUGCAGCUCAUGGCACUGGACUAAACGAUGGGGUUUGGGGUUUGGCAGCAGAGACCAUAUUUGUGUCUCUUCCCUUCUCUACCCCCCUGUGAAGCUUAAAUAGAUUCCUCCAACCACCAACCUCUCCUCCCCUUUUGUGGCUGAUUGUAUUGAUCUGAUCUGUAGACAGUUUGAGAUUUGAUGUAAAUUAUGUGUCUCAGAUGCUUUCAAAAUGGAAUAAAGAUUUAAAAAAUGGUUCGAUAUUUGUUACUGAAUUUGUUUGACAAUGUUUGUUUU